AUAUAACUGAGGCUUAUGUAGUGCCUUCCAUUGUCCUAUAUGUUUCACAGGGUCCAGCUGCUAAUUGUAAGGCUUUUUCUUUUUUAAUUAUGAUACAUAAUUUCAAAGGCAUUAUGUCAAGUAAUCACUUGCCCAAAAGUAUUUCUUGUUGCCCCUCAUGUUUAUUGCCUGUUGUUUUAAAUUAUCAUGUAGGUUUUCAUGUCACAACUCUCUACCAUUUUCACAACUUAGGUGUGUCUCCGAGGAAGGAGGCACAUGCAGUUCUGGCUAUGGAAGAGCUGAUUUCUCCUCUCUCUUUUACUCACUGGCCUGCAUACACUAGGUAGCUUGAAUGUCUUUUGAAGACAUUCUCACAAUGAACAUCAUAGUUGUUUUUUAAAAGAAUAUUUUUAUGUCAAAGAUAAGCCAUUCAUGUAAUAAUUAUUUGAGAGUUUUACAUUUACCUUUUAACGUUAUUUGUUGGGUGACACUAUUUCCCCUAGUGGAUGAUUUUUAGAAGACUUUUCCUGUUGUUGUUUGACAUGGGACCUUUUGUGUAAAUCAGCAUUACACUUUUGUUUGUUUGUUUUCAUUUUGUUUGUACUACCUUGCCAAAAGUAGAAUGAGAUAGUUUGGUUUCAGAUGGGAGUGUUGCAGAAGCCACUGUUCAGAUAGGCACACACAAAGCAGCACAUGUGUAAAUAGCUGUGACUUAAGUACCUGCCCUUCUGAGCAGCCACACGGUGGCUUCAGAAGCCAUCUCUUAUUCUUUUGCUGUUAUUUUCAAGGGCAUUCCUGAUCCAAGAAGGUUUCUCUGUGUGUGUGACUGUGGUCUCAUAUCUAGGGUGCCCCUUCCUUACUCAUGGAUACAGUCUCUUGAAGCAUACCACUGUCCUAGGAAGAAUAUGGCAUUUGAAUGAAAUCAUUUGUCUGGAUUG
rnacentral:lncRNA from 1 species